UACGGGGGGAGCAAGCGUUGUUCGGAUUUACUGGGCGUAAAGGGCGCGUAGGCGGUCAGCACAAGUCAGUUGUGAAAUCUCCGGGCUUAACUCGGAAAGGUCAACUGAUACUGUGCGACUAGAGUGCAGAAGGGGCAACUGGAAUUCUCGGUGUAGCGGUGAAAUGCGCAGAUAUCAGGAGGAACACCGGUGGCGAAGGCGGGUCUCUGGGCCGAAAUUGACGCUGAGGAGCGAAAGCGUGGGGAGCAAACAGG
rnacentral:rRNA from 1 species